rnacentral:rRNA from 1 species
UACGGAGGGAGCUAGCGUUGUUCGGAAAUACUGGGCGUAAAGCGCACGUAGGCGGCGCAGCAAGUCAGGGGUGAAAUCCCGGGGCUCAACCCCGGAACUGCCUCUGAAACUGCAGUGCUAGAAUCUUGGAGAGGCGAGUGGAAUUCCGAGUGUAGAGGUGAAAUUCGUAGAUAUUCGGAAGAACACCAGUGGCGAAGGCGACUCGCUGGGACGUUACUGACGCUGAGACGCGAAAGCGUGGGGAGCAAACAGG